GUAUUGAUUGCGUGUGAUCGCAAAAGUAAGACAUUCUACACAUUUCAUUAAAAGGGUGUCUAUGUAAAAACGUGAAGACCCCCCUCAGAACUAGCCAAAAGGGGUCCCCACGCGGUGGUGCACAUAGGGGUGAGAUGGAUGUUUGAGAACGCUCGGGCGUGCACGACGAAAAAGUCAGCGACAGCCCUCGCGCCUCGGUUUUACGAUAAUGAUCCUUCCGCAGGUUCACCUACGGAAA
rnacentral:misc_RNA from 1 species